rnacentral:rRNA from 1 species
UACAGAGGGGGCAAGCGUUGUUCGGAAUUACUGGGCGUAAGGGGCGCGUAGGCGGCCUGUUAAGUCGAACGUGAAAUCCCCGGGCUCAACCCGGGAACUGCGUCCGAUACUGGAAGGCUUGAAUCCGGGAGAGGGAUGUGGAAUUCCAGGUGUAGCGGUGAAAUGCGUAGAGAUGCGGAGGAACACCGAUGGCGAAGGCAGCCCCCUGGGCUGACACUGACGCUGAGGCACGAAAGCGUGGGGAGCAAACAGG